rnacentral:rRNA from 1 species
GGGUGCGAUCAUACCAGCAUUAAUUCACUAGAUGCCAUCGAAACUCCACAGUUAAGUGUGCUUGUGCUAGAGUGGUAGUACCAUGGGUGACCUCCCAGGAAGUCCUAGUGUUGCACACU